GUCGGCGCGAAGGUGGCGAUGGAGGGGAGCAGCGCGCCGCUCAGCGCCAUGUCGCACUCGCCGAGGGGUUGCCUGCGGGCGGACACGGAGCCAGUUCCCUGCCGCCUGCCAGGGCCUCGCUGCUCUCGCUGACAGGGAUCACAGCUCCGUCACCGAUCUCCCUCGGCCAGUGCUUGGCACCGCUCUGCGGCAUCGCAGAGUGACUGGACCGCCCUGCCUGCAGGCUCAGGACCACAGUUCGGCGUCAGUUCAUGUCUGGAAGGUUAACUCCAGAGACUGAAAAUUGCAGGCGUGGUAGAAAUCAAAGACACAUGUCUUUGUCCUCACCAGGGUCGAUAACCUGCUCUUCCACAUGGGCUUCUGCGUGUUCAGUCGUGACACUGCCUGUUUCUGCACUGGUGCCCGCACAGAUGUCCUGCUCCUACCGCUGCUGCACAGUCAACAACCUCGAGUGCAUCGAGCAUGCCAUUAUGGCACUACUGGCGUACCUUGGUUUUGCAUGGGUCUUUUUCUCUUUUACAGAGGAAAGCUAUUAUCUAGACGCUAAGUGAAAAGUGACUAGUACAUAACUGCAGGGAAAUACUGUAAUAUAGUCAAAACCUUUGGAUAUGGAAGUGGUAGGAGAGUCGACUUUUUGUCCUCAAAAUUCUUCCUGCUCUGUUCCCUCCCAACAAACCGGCACAAGAAUCAAAGAGCAGGCUUGGGAAGUAGCACGCAAAAGCUGUUCCAUGCACAAAUAUAUAGAUUCAUAGAUUCAUAGAUGUUAGGGUCGGAAGCGACCUCAGUAGAUCAUCGAGUCCGACCCCCUGCAUAAGCAGGAAAGAGUGCUGGGUCUAGAUGACCCCAGCUAGAUACUCAUCUAACCUCCUCUUGAAGACCCCCAGGGUAGGGGAGAGCACCACCUCCCUUGGGAGCCCGUUCCAGACCUUGGCCACUCGAACUGUGAAGAAGUUCUUCCUAAUGUCCAAUCUAAAUCUGCUCUCUGCUAGCUUGUGGCCAUUGUUUCUUGUAACCCCCAUGGCCCAGUGUUUUUAUUUGCUUUGGCAUUUUACAGCUGGCAACAGUUGCUCUGGGCAUAUCUUUGAUUUCAGGAGACAUUUUAUCAGAAAUGAGACCAGAAAUGCUGUGCUGUAAAAUUCCAGGGGUUCCAGCUUCAUUCUGACCUGUUCUUCUCUCUGUGGCAUGAGAUUACGUAACUCUCAUUAAUUGCUUUGUCUGUUAAUUUAAAGUGCCAGGAAAUAAUUUGGCUACUUUUAUGUCAAGUAAUUACAAAAAAAGUAAUGCCUUAUAAAAUAUUGGUGAUUGGCAGCAGUAGUCUUGGAAAGUAGUCUUGCUGAGAUUUUCAAAAGGAUCAAAGUGGUACAGGAAUGUAAGUCUUCUGAUUUCAGUGGGAUCUGUUCUCCAAAAUUGCUUAUGUGCCAGGUGAAAUUUUUAAAGCUCUUUAAAAUUAUGCUUGACGCUUGGGUGACCCUGGUUAUGUACUUCUAAAAUGGGACCGGGACUUUCCAAAAGCACAUGCCAGAAGGCAAACCUAGAGUGUGCUAUAGUGUGGCUAGUGAUGACUUAGGUAGUUUCAAGAUACCCAUAUUUUUGUGCAGCAUGUAACUAAUUUUUUUCCCUAAAAGCUGUGCCCUACUGGCAGACUUUUCUCUUACCUUUUGUAAGUAUGAUUCUUAGAUAAACCGAAGUUACCGCUUCUAGCAGUGCCUUACCAAGUUGCUCUGCUGUUUGCGUUGCAGAGGGAAAUCUUGUUCUCAGACACAGAUUCUUGAAAUGAUGAGGGUUUGUCAAUCUUGUAAAUCAUCUUCUUUCAAGGUUGGCCAGAUAUUCAAACAAGGUUAUGAACCUCCCUAUUUGUACAGUCAUUAUUCCAAAACAGGUCGAUCCAGCAGAGUUAAGUCCCUGCCCUGUAUAAUUUAUAAACAUGAGUCUGAGUAACCUCUGAUGACUAAAUUAAAUUCUAAAAUAAUAAUAAAAUGCUCAGCCUUUAUUUUAACAAACUGGUAUUGCCAGUUUCAUAGUAUAUACGUUAAUUAUUAAUAUCUUUGGCGCUAGAAAAUGGAUUUUCUCUGCACAAAGUCCGUUUCUUGGCAUAGGAUGUGUUUGGGAACCAUCAAUAUGAAAAGGAUUAAUGUGGAGACAUGAAAGGUAGUAAAACAUUAAGGAGGUUGUCUAAAUAUUUUAUAUGGAGAGACCUAUAGGUGCAUCUCUAUCAUAGCAAGUUUUUUUUGCUGGUUUGUUGCCCUACACCUCAUUUACAAUGCUUUCUUUAAAUUACUUUGUUUAGGCCAUGAGCUCUCCCUUAUUUUGUUUCUCUUCAGCACUGAAGUUUCUCUCAGACAAGAUACGAUAUAAUUAAUAUGCUAACUGAGAGGGAUCACGUUAGGUUCCUCUCCCUGUUUAAAACAAUUAUAGAAAACACUUCUCUCCCUUCUAUCUCAAUCUGUAGGAAAAUUAAUGAAAGGAAACAUAAAUUGUUUCCAGGCCUCUCUCUCUAUUUUUCCCUGUAAAAGGGAUGAAAUACUUAUUUGUCUUCUUGUGUAUUUGUCAAAUACUUCUUUGUCUUUUUUUCCCUAUUUAUGUACAUGCACAUUUGUUUAUAUUUCUAAACCAAAUAGUACAUGUUAGUACUUAAAUAUAAUUUGAUAUUGGAAGUGACUCUAGGCAAAAAUUAAAAUUGAAUUCCUUCUUAAAACUACAAGAUUAAGAAACUUCAAGCACAGAUGAAUGAUCUGAUCCCUUUGAACUGGAAAGGACAAUUCCCCUAAUUUCCGGAUGACAAGAAUAAUAGUUUGAAAUAAUAUAGGUUCUUCUGCUGCUUUCAUGGAUAUACGAUUUGUUGCAUUGCUGCUUGGUAACUCAGAGCAUCGUAAACACGAACACUGAAGGUUCACUGUCAACUGAAAUUUGCUCCAAAAGUUAAAUUUUGUAAAAGUGAGUUUUUGGAAGUACUCGUUCCUGGCAUUGAGCUCAAUGGAGAAGAAUCAGAUUACUGCUGAGUCCUCUUGAGAAUCCCACCCCCAAAACCAAGCGCCAGGUUUUUACAAAUUGAACAAAACCAGUCAAAAAAACAAACAGGUUUAUUAUUUCUUUUAAGAACACCUCCCUGCUUCAGUAUUUGCAAUCCAAAGUUUGAGAACUUGAAUAUAAACAAAAGCGAAAAGUAUUUCAUUUCCUAAAAUGAGAGAAAUGCAAAAAUUAAACAAAUUUACUGCUAGAUUUUUUCAUUUCUAAUAUUAUCUAAAUUGUCCUUUGUAAUAUAGGCCUAUCAUUUUUGCAAUCCAGUCUUAGGUUAUUAUGUCUGCUCAGGCCAUCCUAGCCCAUUCUAAAACUUUCCUUCCACUAUUCAGCGUGUCCGAGCACAGGAUGCUUCUGUACAGCUCAAAUUUGACUUUGGGGUUGCUUAAUUCACAUAAAGCAUUGCAAAGAAUUUGUGCUUCUGGUGCAUCUGGACAUGUCAUGGCAUCUUCCCAGGUUCUCCUGUGUCUGCUUAGACUCAUGCUCUACCACUAACAGUGUGGCAACAUUGUUGAGGCAGUACAUUUAUUCCUUUGGAAAAGAGAUGAAAUGCCUUCAGUCAUUCGCUCUGUGAUUAUGUGCUAAGUUAUUUCAAGACCAACAUUGGUUUGGCUCCGAAGUGAGAGUCUUUCACCCAUUUUAGGCUUAAUCUACUCUCAAAAAAUUACCCAUUGCUGACAACUGGUAUCAACAGUGCAUUCAUCAGAAUCUCACUAGCAUGUUUUGACAGCAGGUGUGGAGCUGGAUAGAACACCUUUCAGAAAAUGGGGAACCAUAGGAUGUGGUUUAUCCCAGUCUUCACUUGCAUUUAAACCAGGUUAACCUGAACUGGCGCUGAAUUCCCUUGUCAGCGAUGGUUAGUUUUUCUAGUGGAGAUCGGGCAUUUAGUUUGUGAGGAAAGGCAAAACCCUGCAAAUUUAGACCAGGAAAGAGGAUGGGGAAAAUGAAAAAGUGCAGGUAUGGGAAGGAGGGUUUCACUGGAAAGAGAUCAAGGUAUGUAUACUUCGGUAAAAAAAAAAAGUAAAGUAUACUUCGGUAAAAAAAAAAAGAUCUAUGUCAUUUGAGUGUGAAGCAAAGAUUAACCCAUUUAUCUUGAUGCAUUUGUUUUAAAUGACUUUUUAAAAUGGUUUCUCAAACUGUUGCCUCUCUGGAGCCAUAAUGUGAUUUAUCUUCCUUAAUUUAAUUGUCUUGGAUAGCAACUGCAAAAAUUAGGCACUGCAGACAUUAAGAUAGAUUACAUGGAGGGGCUGUUGAGGUAACUCACCAGGAUGCAUUUCUAGCUUCUUUGGGUUUGUGCUCUAGAGUGCUUGGGGCUGGACCACUGCUUUGUUUUACAAUGCCUGAAAUAAUGAAGCCUUAAUCCCUGAAUGGGACAAAUAUUAAUGGGUUAAGAACAGGGAGGAAAUUCUUGGUAGGUCCAAUCUUGCUGUAAUUUAAAUUAAUGACAAAAAAAAUCCAUAGAUUUAAGCCAUGUAAGAUCUUGCCUGUAAGGAGGCAGCUGGGGGAGAAGGGCAGCUGUACUAGGUUUACAGGGCAGUUGAUAUGUGGGCCUUAAGAAACCCUGCAGAACCCAAAUUAAGUGACAUUCACUGAAGGCAAGACCUAGAGGGAAGGUCUGAGAAGCAACUAACAGCUGGAAAGUUUGGAUACACGAGACGCACACAGUAUGAGGAAAUGCAGGGAUGAGGAUUUAUUCUCUCCUGCCUCCCUUCCAAGGCAUUAUGAGGUGGAUGAGAAGAUUGCUACAAUCUUGAAUGCAAAAUUGGCCUAUGAGCUAGUGCCUGGGGAAAUCUGAAAUGUGAUGGAUCUGUUGCUGAGUUUAUGUUAACUGAAUAUUUUCUUUUUCCUCUCUUUAUAAAGUGCAGCUGAAUUUUGUUUAUCAUUGCUUUUUCUUCUGUGAGUGUGGCUUUUCCAUAUAAAUAAAGUCCCACUUUGUUUUUA